rnacentral:rRNA from 2 species
GGACUACUGGGGUAUCUAAUCCUGUUUGAUCCCCGCACUUUCGAGCCUCAGUGUCAGUUACAGUUUUGUGAGCUGCCUUCGCAAUCGGUGUUCUAUGACAUCUCUAUGUAUUUCACCACUACAUGUCAUAUUCCGCCCACAGCAACUGUACUCAAGCCCUACAGUAUCAAUGGCAAUUUCUGGGUUAAGCCCAGAGAUUUCACCACUGACUUAUAAGGCCACCUACGCUCCCUUUAAACCCAAUGAAUCCGGAUAACGCUUGCAUCCUUCGUCUUACCGCGGCUGCUGGCAC